AACGAACGCUGGCGGCAUGCCUAACACAUGCAAGUCGAACGAGACCUUCGGGUCUAGUGGCGCACGGGUGCGUAACGCGUGGGAACCUGCCCUUAGGUUCGGAAUAACUCCCCGAAAGGGGUGCUAAUACCGGAUAAUGUCUUCGGACCAAAGAUUUAUCGCCUUUGGAUGGGCCCGCGUUGGAUUAGCUAGUUGGUAGGGUAAAAGCCUACCAAGGCGACGAUCCAUAGCUGGUCUGAGAGGAUGAUCAGCCACACUGGGACUGAGACCCGGCCCAGACUCCUACGGGAGGCAGCAGUGGGGAAUAUUGGACUAUGGGCGAAAGCCUGAUCCAGCAAUGCCGCGUGAGUGAUGAAGGCCUUAGGGUUGUAAAGCUCUUUUACCCGGGAUGAUAAUGACAGUACCGGGAGAAUAAGCUCCGGCUAACUCCGUG
rnacentral:rRNA from 1 species